AAAGACCUGUAAGAUUUCCAGUGGAUGGGACCGUUUCUCAGGUGACCAGGCAUUCCUACUACAUGCCCCGGCAGCUUUGCUGGUCACAGCAUGGUGGCAAAUUACACGUUAUUAGAACAGUCCGGAUGAUGAAGUCACUGCAGACCUAAUCCCAUUUAUUUCAAUGACAGCUUUGGCAGAGCAGUAAAUCUUGCUGCCAACCGUGUCUCUUGUGGCCGGUUCCCUGAAGGAACUACCAUCGGACGUGACUACAGGGAGGGGUCCUUGCUAGAGCCUUAAUUCGUUACCUUUUCCCUCCAAAUGGCAAGUUCUCCUAGAAAAGCCUGCCCAUGUGGCAGAUUGUACUUUCAAAGUAUAUCCCAUCUCACAUGCUCUUCCUGACACUCCUCUCAUUGAGUCCAGGAGAGGUCUAUGUCACUUCUCCUUGUACCUUAGUGGAAGAAACUUUAUGACUACUUUGAUGAGUAAAAGUCAUUGCAAAAGUGACAUUAGGUGACUUCCACAGCUAGGUCAGAAAAAUGCCAUGCACUUCUACCCUAUGGUCUUGUAACCCUUGCUCUUGGAAUCCAGCCACCAUGCUGUGAGGAAGCCCAAGCAACACCAAGAGACCACGGGCCGUUGUUCUAGGGGAAUCAGCACCAGCCACCAGACAUGUAAAUGAGGAGACUGUCCAUAUGUCUCCAACCCCAGAAUGCAACUGUAUGAAAGACCCUGCAUGAGAAGCACUCGGCUGAGGCCAGCCAGACCCCAGAGCUGUGAGAGGUAUAAAAUGAUUAUAGCUGUUUUAAGCCACUGAGAUUUGGGGUGAUUCUUUAGGUAGCAAUAGAUCACCGGAAUACCCAUAAACAGUGGUAAUGACACAUUUGCCUCUCUGGCACCUCUUAUUGAAAAAUGGAAGUCCAAUCCUUCCUUCCAAACUUGCCUUCUCAGGUUCUGAAACUUCCUACUAUUGGGUGAUUCAGUCUUGCAAAGUGAGAUUUGAAAGUGGGACUUCCAGUCGUCAGAAGCCGUCAGAAUGCUCUCCUACUCACUUUCCCAAGAAGGAAGAAACAGACACCAGAAGCAGAGGAAGAAAGCUGCCCUAGCCAUGACAUGCCACUGCCGGGAGACACCCUCCGUCAUACAAGGUCACAUUUCUAAAUGGCUAAUGCUAACCCCAGAUGCCAAAGCUGGGCAGAAGCAGGUUUGCAGAGCUCUCUAGAUUACAUGUUC
rnacentral:lncRNA from 1 species